rnacentral:rRNA from 1 species
AACGAACGCUGGCGGCAGGCCUAACACAUGCAAGUCGAGCGCACCUUCGGGUGAGCGGCGGACGGGUUAGUAACGCGUGGGAACGUGCCCAGCUCUAGGGAAUAGCCUCGGGAAACUGAGAGUAAUACCCUAUACGCCCUUCGGGGGAAAGAAUUUCGGAGUUGGAUCGGCCCGCGUCUGAUUAGGUAGUUGGUGGGGUAACGGCCUACCAAGCCUACGAUCAGUAGCUGGUUUGAGAGGAUGAUCAGCAACACUGGGACUGAGACACGGCCCAGACUCCUACGGGAGGCAGCAGUGGGGAAUCUUAGACAAUGGGCGCAAGCCUGAUCUAGCCAUGCCGCGUGAGUGACGAAGGCCCUAGGGUCGUAAAGCUCUUUCACCAGGGAAGAUAAUGACGGUACCUGGAGAAGAAACCCCGGCUAACUCCG